rnacentral:misc_RNA from 1 species
GAUGAAGAACGCAGCGAAAUGCGAUAAGUAAUGUGAAUUGCAGAAUUCAGUGAAUCAUCGAGUCUUUGAACGCACAUUGCGCCCCCUGGUAUUCCGGGGGGCAUGCCUGUCCGAGCGUCAUUGCUGCCCUCAAGCACGGCUUGUGUGUUGGGCCUCCGUCCUCCUCCCGGGGGACGGGCCCGAAAGGCAGCGGCGGCACCGCGUCCGGUCCUCGAGCGUAUGGGGCUUCGUCACCCGCUCUUGUAGGCCCGGCCGGCGCUUGCCGACACAUCAAUCUUUUUUCCAGGUUGACCUCGGAUCAGGUAGGGAUACCCGCUGAAUUUAAGCAUAUAAUAAGCGGAGGA